rnacentral:rRNA from 1 species
GACGAACGCUGGCGGCGUGCUUAACACAUGCAAGUCGAACGCUGAAGCUUGGUGCUUGCACUGGGUGGAUGAGUGGCGAACGGGUGAGCAAUACGUGAGUAACCUGCCCUUGACUCUGGGAUAAGCCUGGGAAACUGGGUCUAAUACUGGAUACGACAUGUCACCGCAUGGUGGUGUGUGGAAAGGGUUUUACUGGUUUUGGAUGGGCUCACGGCCUAUCAGCUUGUUGGUGGGGUAAUGGCUCACCAAGGCGACGACGGGUAGCCGGCCUGAGAGGGUGACCGGCCACACUGGGACUGAGACACGGCCCAGACUCCUACGGGAGGCAGCAGUGGGGAAUAUUGCACAAUGGGCGGAAGCCUGAUGCAGCGACGCCGCGUGAGGGAUGACGGCCUUCGGGUUGUAAACCUCUUUCAGCACGGAAGAAGCGAAAGUGACGGUACGUGCAGAAGAAGCGCCGGCUAACUACGUG